ensembl:lincRNA
GCUGUCAGUGGGGAGGAGAAAAGAGUGAUGAAGCCAGUUGAUAGAUGGGGAUUGUUAGGAGGCCAUGAUUGGUAAAUGCCAAUGGGAAAUGUGGCCAGGAUGCCGAGGUAACAUUCCUACUCUUUUUGAGAAACGCCCUGGGGGAUUUUUAAUGACUAUAGAGAGUCAGGAUCUCAAUUUUAUAUCUUAUCAGAAGGACGGUGCCUUUUUUAAAGUGUAGUGUCCCCUUCAUUAUACCGGGGUAUUAGGACCCACACAGACCGCAGGGUGAGCACCCCCUGCUGACCCCACUAAUGCCUCUUCCAGCAGUAAUCAGUUUUUCCCAGGAGUCUCCCAUCCAGGUACUCACCAGGCUCACACCUGCUGAGCUUCAAUGGGCUGCCACUUCUGAACUGCAGGAUGAUAUGGCUGCUGAUAAUAUCAGUUAAUUGCGCUUGUGCAUAUGACAAAUAAACUGAACUCAGAACUCUUCAGUUUUACACUCCAAUGUGUUUUGACUGUAGUGUAUCUUAGCCAAUGGUAUAUUGUUAUAGUGGCAGGAUUCAUGGGGCACAUUGAGUCAGUUACUGUUUUUUGACCUGGGUACGUUGAGAUAGAAGAGGAACUGCACCAGGCUGUUGGCCAAGAGCUGUUUUUGUCCCCAACAGUGGCCUACGAGGACCCUCUGCUUACAAUUACCAUCUCCAGUAGUUGGAACUACAUUGUCCUGACGUACCGCUCCCAAGGGUACCCUGAAGCCAAGGUGCAUUGGCUGAACCACACAGGAAGUGACAUCACAAAGCACAGCCAAACCAGCCAAUGGAAUCGCGGAGGAGGUCUUCUGGCCCUGAACAGCCAUCUGACAGUGGAGCGAAUGGCCAAUCUGAGUUACACCUUCCAACUGGCCAACCCAGUGCUUAACCAAUCAAUAACAAGGACUGUAACUGUAACCAAUAAUGUUCUGUAGUGAUGAUGUUGGCUUAGAUAUUACUUCUCUGCAGUCCUUGCCAUGGCUGACCAGGCAGCAUCUUCUGCACCCAGCCUUUGUGCUAUUUAAUACCACAACAGGUGAACUAGCAGCUACAGUAACAUUCAAGACAGGGCACACACCCAGUGGGUUCAUGACCAAUCAUUUACACAGGAAGGUUUACAAACCAAAGGAGGCCUUUCAACACAUUCAGCCCAUGUGAUGGAUACUACGUACCUGAAGCAUGGGUGUCAUGUUACCUUUUCCUGCUGCCUCUUAACAUUUUUCUAAGUCUAUAAAAACUCCUGAAGAGCCCCUAUUGGUGCUCAUUAGUAAAUCAUGCAUGAUUAAAAUGAAAUGUGUUGUUUGUAUUUUCACUGAGACAAAAAAAAACUGAAAAAUUAGGUCUCUCUAUUUUUUUGGAAAUGAGCCAGAGGCUUUUCUUGGGUAAUUAUUUGGUGUUUUUGCAGGUUCUGAACCAAACAUGUUAUAUAAGGUCAAGCAUUUGUGGUCUUGAAGUGAUAAAGAUUUAGUAAUUGCAGUUUUAUAGGAGAUUGUAUGAUGUCUUUCACAAGCAUUUAUCCUUAUCCUCAUCAGUUUUAAAAGCUGAUUUGAGCUGUUUAGCCUUAUAUCCAAGUCAUAGUUUGUAGAGUGUAAGAUUCAGAGUGAAUCAUUAUGGCACCAAUACUCAAAACUGUAGUGUAGUGGCCAAAAGCACAGCCUCAAUUGCAAUUGCUUAAGGUGAAGCAGGUUUCAGUCUCACUGAGAAUCUAACAGUUCACUAUCAUUCCUUGAACUCUGUAGUGUUGAAGAGAAGACUACAAGAACCUGACAUCCAGAAUCCUUAAAGGCUUCAACAAAAACAACCCAGUUUCUUUCAGAAUGAACAGGGAAUCACAAAAUGGAGUUUAUAACGAAAGUUGUUGAGGGAUGACAACAACCAAGCUCAAUCGUACUCAGCUGUCAGUAAUUAGCAAUCGGUCCCAUCAUCCUUCCUCCACCAAAUGCUACAAGUACCAACGUGAUUUCAUACUCUCCCACACAUUCGACUUUUGCAUCCCACCACCACCUCUGCUGCUACCCCUUGGUUACCCUGCAUGGGGGUCCUGGCCUCCCUGUCCUGUGGUCAGAGGUUGGCCCUCAGCCACGCAGGUUUAGUCAAUAUCUUUUUUGAGUAAAAUAUAAAUGUCACAUAGUGAUAAAAAAAAAUCCCCACCGGAGUCUUGAACUUUGUCUGGUCAAAAUUCUCCUCUUCAAUCCAUGUGCUGUUAAACCUGCAAGAAAAAGAGAAUCAAGAACAGGACACAAUUCCUUCCCCAGAGUGUGGUGAGAGU